CCAGUUGCAGAAAAUAUCACACCAAACCAGUCUGAGGGAGUCAAAGCAAACUAUAAUAUUUCAGGCGUCAGAGACUCUCCUAUUACAGAAUUUGCCUGUUUGGAUAGCAUGACACCUUUUCCACAAGAUUUUAUUAAUAAGCUGCACAAACAGUUUAUAGGCUCAGUAUCACACACCUGAGAAAAGAGUUUUCUUAACGUUACAUUAAAAUCCUUCCCAGCUAACAGAAAUAGAGGCCAGAAUACCAUAGAGCAAAACUCAGAAAGCCUGAACACGGAAGGAAACUUCACAUAUCAGGCUCCGAAUGGCUUGGUGUUAGUUAUCCCUAUAAAUCUUUUGUGUUUCUACUAUACAAUAUUCUCCGGCGUUUCUGCUUCUGAUG
rnacentral:lncRNA from 1 species